rnacentral:rRNA from 1 species
UAGUUUUUUAACUAUUAAUACUGUUUUUUCUUAGGUUUAAUGUGCCUUUUGCAUCAUGCUUUUGUGAAUGUUUGGUAAAUAGCCUUUAAUCGAAAAAUUCGGAUUUUGUGACCAACUGUUGUGUUUUAUGUCAGGUAGACGGUUAGAGAUUGGUGACAGGUUGUGAUAAGUUAUUCGGCGAGUUUUAUAUCUAUUUUACAGUUAGAUUUUUAUGUGAUCAUUAAGGCUAGGAUGUCUUUUUGUAGUGUAUACAGGUUGUAUAGUUUUAUUAGGUUAAGGUUAAAAUUACCUAUGAUUUAUGAUAUUGUUAUAAGUUUUUAUACUACAAUAAUACUGUUAUCUAUAAAUACUGUAUAAGUUAACUAUUUGUUACUAUCUAUGUAUAAAUAAGUAAUAAUAUUAUUUAUAUUGUUUCUCAAGAAUCACCCGUCUGUUUAUUAAAAACAUUUCUAUAAUUAAGUUUUUAUAGUAGUACCUGCUCUAUGUUUAAUCAAUAAAUGGCCGCAGUAUCUUGACUGUGCGAAGGUAGCAUAAUUAAUUGCCUUAUAAUUGGGGGCUUGUUUGAAUGGUUUGACGUGGUGAGUGCAAACAUUAUUUAUUUUGUUGAAAUUAUUUUCGAGGGCACAGAAACCUCGAUGUUUAAUUAGACGGAAAGACCCCGGGAUCUUCUUAUUUUGCCUGGGGCAGGUUAUGAUUAUUCAUCCAUAUUGUGACCCUUACUAGAGUUUAAUGGGCCAAGUUACCCCGGGGAUAACAGUAUAAUAGCUUAAUAGAGAUCUUAUCGAUUGGGCUGUUUGUCACCUCGAUGUUGACUUAGGUUUCAGUUUAGGCGCAGUAGUUUAAACUUUAGGUCUGUUCGACCCUGUAACCUCCAUGAGUUGAGUUAAGACCGGUGUAAGCCAGGUCGGUUCUUAUCUAUUGUUCAGGUUUAUUAGUACGAAAGGACCAUAAACUUUUUUAUU